rnacentral:rRNA from 1 species
AGGUGAGUUUUGUUUCAGGCUCAGAGCGAACGCUGGCGGCAUGCUUAACACAUGCAAGUCGCACGAAGGUUUCGGCCUUAGUGGCGGACGGGUGAGUAACGCGUAGGAAUCUAUCCAUGGGUGGGGGAUAACUCUGGGAAACUGGAGCUAAUACCGCAUGAUACCUGAGGGUCAAAGGCGCRAGUCGCCUGUGGAGGAGCCUGCGUUUGAUUAGCUUGUUGGUGGGGUAAUGGCCUACCAAGGCGAUGAUCAAUAGCUGGUYUGAGAGGAUGAUCAGCCACACUGGGASUGAGACACGGCCCAGACUCCUACGGGAGGCAGCAGUGGGGAAUAUUGGACAAUGGGGGCAACCCUGAUCCAGCAAUGCCGCGUGUGUGAAGAAGGUUUUCGGAUUGUAAAGCACUUUCGACGGGGACGAUGAUGACGGUACCCGUAGAAGAAGCCCCGGCUAACUUCGUGCCAGCAGCCGCGGUAAUACGAAGGGGGCUAGCGUUGCUCGGAAUGACUGGGCGUAAAGGGCGUGUAGGCGGUUUGUACAGUCAGAUGUGAAAUCCCCGGGCUUAACCUGGGAGCUGCAUUUGAUACGUGCAGACUAGAGUGUGAGAGAGGGUUGUGGAAUUCCCAGUGUAGAGGUGAAAUUCGUAGAUAUUGGGAAGAACACCGGUGGCGAAGGCGGGCAACCUGGCUCAUAACUGACGCUGAGGGCGCGAAAGCGUGGGGAGCAAACAGGAUUAGAUACCCUGGUAGUCCACGCUGUAACGAUGUGUGCUAGAUGUUGGGGUAACUUAGUUAUUCAGUGGUCGCAGUUU